UACGUAGGGUGCAAGCGUUGUCCGGAAUUAUUGGGCGUAAAGAGCUCGUAGGCGGCCUGUUAAGUCGAACGUGAAAUCCCCGGGCUCAACCCGGGAACUGCGUCCGAUACUGGCAGGCUUGAAUCCGGGAGAGGGAUGUGGAAUUCCAGGCGUAGCGGUGAAAUGCGUAGAUAUCUGGAGGAACACCGGUGGCGAGGGCGGCAUCCUGGACCGGUAUUGACGCUGAGGCGCGAAAGCCAGGGGAGCAAACGGG
rnacentral:rRNA from 1 species